AACGAACGCUGGCGGCAGGCUUAACACAUGCAAGUCGAGCGCCCCGCAAGGGGAGCGGCAGACGGGUGAGUAACGCGUGGGAAUCUACCCAUCUCUACGGAAUAACGCAUGGAAACGUGUGCUAAUACCGUAUACGUCCUUAGGGAGAAAGAUUUAUCGGAGAUGGAUGAGCCCGCGUUGGAUUGGUUAGUUGGUGGGGUAAAGGCCUACCAAGGCGACGAUCCAUAGCUGGUCUGAGAGGAUGAUCAGCCACACUGGGACUGAGACACGGCCCAGACUCCUACGGGAGGCAGCAGUGGGGAAUAUUGGACAAUGGGCGCAAGCCCGAUCCAGCCAUGCCGCGUGAGUGAUGAAGGCCCUAGGGUUGUAAAGCUCUUUCACCGGUGAAGAUAAUGACGGUAACCGGAGAAGAAGCCCCGGCUAACUUCGUGCCAGCCGCCGCCGUAAAAC
rnacentral:rRNA from 1 species